rnacentral:tRNA from 1 species
GGGGGUACAGCUCAGUGGUAGAGCUCAUGCUUAGCAUGUACAAGGUCCUGGGUUCAAUCCCCAGUACUUCUG